rnacentral:rRNA from 1 species
CGCGUCAAAGCGUAACCUUAGCCCCCAAAAUACCAUUAAUUUUCAUGAACCCCUAAUCUAUAAUGAAUGACUCCAUAUUUAUAUGGAAGACACCAUGCUAGGAUUAGUAACAAGAAUUUAUAAUUCUCCAAAAUGCAAAUAUAAACCAACAUGGAUGGACCAUUGGUAGUUACCGAACCUAAAUUCAAUGCAACAACACCUACAAGAAAACUCUGCAGUACUUACUCGUUAACCUAACACCAGCGCAUUACAGGAAAGAUUUAAAAAAAGAGAAGGAAUUCGGCAAAUGACGGCCCCGCCUGUUUACCAAAAACAUCGCCUCUUGACUUAUAAUAAGAGGUCCAGCCUGCCCAGUGAAUUUUAAACGGCCGCGGUAUCCUAACCGCGCGAAGGUAGCAUAAUCACUUGUUCUUUAAAUGGGGACUCGUAUCAACGGCAUCACGAGGGUUUUACUGUCUCCUCUUUUUGAUCAGUGAAAUUGAUCUUCCCGUGAAGAAGCGGGAAUAAAUUUAUAAGACGAGAAGACCCCAUGGAGCUUUAAACCAAAUAACAACUUAACCACUUAUCCCAUAAUAAAUUUAAGCCCUGUUAUAAGGUUUUUGGUUGGGGUGACCGCGGAGUAAAACACAUCCUCCACGACGAAAAAAACAGAAUCUUUAUUUAAGAACCACACUUCUAGAAAUUAGUAUACUAACGUUUACUGACCCGACAAUCGAUCAACGGACCAAGUUACCCUGGGGAUAACAGCGCAAUCUACUUCAAGAGCUCAUAUCGACAAGUAGGCUUACGACCUCGAUGUUGGAUCAGGGUAUCCCGGUGGUGCAGCCGCUACCGAAGGUUCGUUUGUUCAACGAUUAAAACCCUACGUGAUCUGAU